UUUCUUUUUCUCUGUAUCAAGAUAUGGGU
rnacentral:piRNA from 1 species